rnacentral:rRNA from 1 species
CCUACGGGAGGCUGCAGUGGGGGAUAUUGCACAAUGGGGGGAACCCUGAUGCAGCGACGCCGCGUGGGUGAAGAAGCGCCUCGGCGCGUAAAGCCCUUUCAGCAGGGAAGAAAAUGACGGUACCUGAAGAAGAAGCCCCGGCUAACUACGUGCCAGCAGCCGCGGUAAUACGUAGGGGGCAAGCGUUAUCCGGAUUUACUGGGUGUAAAGGGGGCGCAGACGGGGAUGCAAGCCAGGAGUGAAAGCCCGGGGGCCAACCCCGGGACUGCUCUUGGAACUGCGUGGCUGGAGUGCAGGAGGGGCAGGCGGAAUUCCUGGUGUAGCGGUGAAAUGCGUAGAUAUCAGGAGGAACACCGGUGGCGAAGGCGGCCUGCUGGACUGCAACUGACGUUGAGGCCCGAAAGCGUGGGGAGCAAACAGGAUUAGAUACCCUUGUAGUC